rnacentral:rRNA from 1 species
CCUACGGGGGGCAGCAGUGGGGAAUAUUGGACAAUGGGGGCAACCCUGAUCCAGCCAUGCCGCGUGUGUGAAGAAGGCCCUCGGGUUGUAAAGCACUUUCAGUGAGGAAGAACGCCUGGUGGUUAAUACCCAUCAGGAAAGACAUCACUCACAGAAGAAGCACCGGCUAACUCCGUGCCAGCAGCCGCGGUAAUACGGAGGGUGCGAGCGUUAAUCGGAAUUACUGGGCGUAAAGCGCGCGUAGGUGGCUUGAUAAGCCGGUUGUGAAAGCCCCGGGCUCAACCUGGGAACGGCAUCCGGAACUGUCAAGCUAGAGUGCAGGAGAGGAAGGUAGAAUUCCCGGUGUAGCGGUGAAAUGCGUAGAGAGCGGGAGGAAUACCAGUGGCGAAGGCGGCCUUCUGGACUGACACUGACACUGAGGUGCGAAAGCGUGGGUAGCAAACAGGAUUAGAUACCCUGGUAGUC